AUCAAAUUGAAGGCACAUUUAUGUGCCUAUUUGGAAAUAAUAAAAAAGAAAUAUUUUCUUCAAACGAAAAACAUCUUGAGCUGCCAUGGCGACUGUACGAAUGAUAGAUAUAGCCGUCAAUUUCACUGAUAGCAUGUUCAAAGGGAUAUACAAUGGAAAACAAUAUCAUAUAGGGGACAUUCAAGCUGUGUUGAAAAGGGCAUGGAGUGCUGGAGUUGAACGAAUAAUAGUAACUGGUGGCUCUCUUGAAGAAUCAAAGGAAGCUCUUGCCAUUGCUGAAACAGAUGCAAGACUCUUCUGUACUGUGGGUGUGCACCCGACAAGAUGCAAAGAAUUUGAAGACAGUGGGGAUCCAGAAAAGCAUUUGCAGGAUCUUUUGACAUUGGCUAAAGAGGGAAAAGAAAAAGGAAAAGUGGUUGCAAUUGGCGAAUGUGGGUUGGACUAUGAUAGACUUCACUUUUGUCCAUCUGAUAUUCAGAAGAAGUACUUUGAAAAACAGUUUGAGUUAGCAUAUACGAUGAAACUGCCAAUGUUUCUUCACAUGCGAGCAGCUUCUCAGGAUUUUUGCGACAUUCUUCAACGAAAUAAGGAUCGGUUUGUUGCUGGUGUUGCACACUCUUUCACCGGAAGUGCUGAAGAUUGUGAUAGACUUCUUUCAUUUAGUAACAUUUUUAUAGGAAUAAAUGGUUGCUCUCUCAAGACAGCUGAGAACCUUGAAGUUGUAAAGGGUAUACCUGUUGAGCGAAUGAUGAUUGAGACAGAUUCACCAUACUGUGAUAUCAAGAAUACACAUGCUGGGAUAAGGUAUGUGAAAUCCUCGUGGCCUUCAAAGAAAAAGGAUAAGCAUGAUCAAGAAUGCCUUGUCAAAGGUCGCAAUGAGCCUUGCUUAGUUCGGCAAGUGCUUGAAGUUGUUGCUGGCACUAAAGGUAUCGCUGACAUAGACCAACUGAGCCAGACACUGUACCAUAAUACGUGCAGGUGAUGAUAAGGUUUCCUCUAUUUCACAUCUCUAUACUCGUACUGCAAGAAAGGAGAUGGCUUUUUUAAUACAGAAAGACAUGCUAAACAAUUGGAAAAUGAGGGUUAAUUUUCAUUUCCUAAGGCAAAACUUGGAUGCCUUUCAAGGGUUUUCUUUCCUCAUGAUUUGGAUUCUGCAGCUGAAGCCCUUCUUGCUAGUGGUAGGGAGGCUCUAUGAAGUUGUUGUACUCUGCUAGUCUUUAAUAGUGUAUGAGAAAACAAACAAUAAGUUUUUGGAUUAGUUUUAGUUUUUUUAAAAACAAAUGCUACUGUCAGUAGACAUUUAAAAUUAUAAAAUUUAUUUUUGUUUUGUUUGAGGAAAAAAAAAAGCUCUCAGGUUUAAGUUUGAGCAUUAGUUAUUGGAAUCGGUCGAAUCCGUAUCAGGACUUCUAGCUCCACUCUUGACAACAACAACGGAUCAUUUUCUUCAAGUUGUUUAUACUAAAGCUAAUUAUGAAGUGGCUCAUGCUUCUUUA